AUCCACCUUUGUAAGAGCCCAACUGCCAAAAAGCACUGGUAUUUUCUGGAAUGGAAAACAGAAGACAGAAGCAGGUCGGAAACGAAUCCCUCCAUCCCUCACCUCCCUCCCUCCCCCUCCCAGCGCCCCCAGCCCAAUUCGCCCCGACUGGGAACCCACGGGGUGCUGAACAGACGUCAGCUCUCUCUGCUCCUGCUCAGUCCCCGCGGGCAAGGAAGCGCCAGCGGCUGGAGAAGGUGGUUUCGGUCUCCCGUGGGUGCCCCUGACCCGAGGGGGCACCACACAGCCGAGGCAGCUGAGGUCGCAGCCGAAGUCACCUUCUCUCCGCACAGGAAAAUGCUCGUUCCCCGGGCCGAGCGCUUCCGCCGCGCGCUGAUCCCACCCGCCAAGCCCCGAAGGAGCCGGCGGCGCAGCGGCCCAGGCCCGGCCCCAGCACUGCUCCGGACUCCCGGUAGGGGGAGCCUCCCCGGGCGCGGGGCCAGCCCGGGUCCCGGCCUCCCCGCUCGGCCUCGCAGCCCGCGCGGCCGCCUCUCCACCUGCCCGUGGGGGAAGGGAGCCCCGCGCCGAGCCUGCCCCCAUCCCUGGCUGCUGCACCGCAGAGAAGACAGACACGACCGAAGUGCAUUCUUGAGGUCCAAAUAUAGGUAGGGAAAUUUGUAGGUGAGCUCACCUACAUAGCCAACGGGACGAAAAAUAUAGCACUUUCGGUGGCUAAGAACUGCUCUUGGUUCCACACAUUUUGAGCCUCAUUUUAAGAAUUCUAAGUGAUCUAAUUAAUCCCUUCUCAUUGCGUCUCCAAGUUGCCCAAGCAGCUGAUUUAGCUGGCCCCAGGACCAAGCAGCAGCUCAGAAGAGACCUGCUGGCCCUCCUGCAGUAACCUCAUCCACCGACUCUCUCCCUUCUGAUUCCUUAUGCUUUAGGAGCGGCUCAGAAGCUUUCAUUUUAGGAUAUGACCAAUGUUCAGAGAACAACCCAAAUUCAGGGUGAAGGGGAAAGAAGUCAGACACACUGUGAACCCACAGAUCACUCUACUGUGCCCCGUGUGGUCGAACACCUGAGCUCGAGGGGCCAGAGAAUUCCUGGAGGAUACUCCGCAGAUAAAACCUGCAAGCUCCCCUUCUGCAAAAAGCCAUCCUUCCCGCAGGAAUCCACAGCGCAGAAGAGCUCUCAUAAGGCCAAGUCAUCAAGAGCUCUUCAGAGAGAAUUGCAUAAGCAAAGAAUUUCACACUUGGAAGGAAACUUAAAGACCACUUAGUCUAAUGGUUGUGGUUUACUGGUGAGGAGCUUGAGCUCAGUAGACGGGAGGCAGAUUCACACUCCAGGUGAGAAAAUCCCUGAAUGCGGAGUUGAGCCUCCAACUCUCCUCUUUUGACCCUCAGUCCAGGACUGUUUGGACCGCAGGACACCAGAAAUGCAUUUUACUGUUGUUGCUAUCCCGGUAAUUACGAAUAUAUUUCCACAUAGUUUAGAGUGCUUAGUAAGACAUACUUCUUUCAUAAUAUUGCAACAAUAGCAAAAUCUGCAAGGUCUGUGUGAAAAGAAUAUUACAGUUGGUUCAAGAGACGCUGAAUUUUGGAAGUGAAGUUGCAUAUAGCAUUGAGGCAUUUGGGGGAGAGACUAAACAAAAGUGGUUGUAUUGUUUUAUCCCAAUUUAAGAACAUGCAAUAUAUGCAAAUAUAUGAAUAAAUGAACAAAACAGUACA
rnacentral:lncRNA from 12 species